GCGCCUUAAUCCAGUUAGCCGGUCUUUUGUUUCAAUUUUUAAGCUUUUCUUGUUGUUUUGGAUUUGCGACAAAUAUAAAUCCUUUUAUUUCAAUUAUGUUUAUCUAAUUUUGUAAGAUUUACAUUUGCCAUAUGAAUGAUUAACUACACAAUUAAUGUUCACCGUUCAAGAAGUGGAAAUAAUUGAAGCAGACGAUGCCAAAAUUUGGAACCAAAUGGAUGCCAACAACAUCAACAUGAAACAUUGUGAUAUCAUCUUUGGCUUGUUUCCUUCAUUGUUAUUGAUAAAUAAGACUAACAAGUGUGAACUGUCAUCCGAAUGGAUGAAAUUGAAUUAAGAAGAUAUAAUAAGAGGAAGAAGAUGAUGAAAUGAGAAGAUUAUUUAACUUGAUAGACGUGCUUUAAUGGGGCGUUAAAGGAUCAUGUUUAUAAAGGUAAUCUAAAAUAGUCUACCCUGAAAGGUAAGUGAUUUUAUUUUAUCUUCAACUUUUAUUUUCCCCCUAAUUUCAUACAAUUUCAAUUGUCUUAACAAUACAAUCCAUUACACUGACAGUUGAUACUCACAUGUGAUUUACCUGAAUUUUAUCCUUGGAUUCGAUUGCAAUGUCUGGCUAGUCUGCAAUUAAUUCAACUGUUCAGUUGGUGGAAAUUUAUUUUUCAGGGGUCAAGCAUAUGGUUAACUUGAAUACACUGGACAAGUCGUUAUGGGGAAUGUAAAUCCAACUUGUUACCAGAAAAAAAUGGCUGGAAAUUUUGAAUUGAAGAAACGUUUAUAACCAGAAGGAUUAAGUUGAAAACCAGAAGAUUGAGGAAACCAAUAAAGACAGUUGGUUGACAAAAGAUUGAAAAAAGUACCUUAUGACCAUAAAAUGGACGAAAUGGUUCAAUCAUGGAUUGCUGUUGAAGGUUAUCCAAUGAAACGUAAAUUCAGUGAACGGGUCAAUUGGGGAAAAUUGAAUUUUACAUGGACAUGUUUACCUUUUCAAUUACAUGGAUGCUCAUAAGUUACACUGGUCGAAUGGCUUAUCGUAACCUUAAUCAUAAUCAAUCAUUAUUAUUAUCAUCGAUAGCAUUUAGCCUGGAGGUUUUGAUGAAAUGAGUCUAGAGUCAAUUGAGGAGAAAUCUGAUGAUGAGAUAAAUUAAUGAGCAAAAGCUUAAGGAGAUAGUAACCUAUUAAUAAUCAAUAUAUAUAUUAUAAUUGUAAGAAAGAAGAGACUUGAUCUAUUCUUAUCAUAAUCAUUAUAUAUAUAUUUUUCGUAAUGUAUCUAAUGAAUGUUGAUGAAAUCUCAUGAGUUUAGGCUAUCAUCAUUAAUAUGAUUAUUAUUUUAUGAACAUUCUUAGGGUUCAAAUGGAUUCAUUUGAUAAUGAAAAUGAAAUCAAAUUAUUAUUGCCAUUAUCAUUAACAUUUGCUACAUAUUAUUUCAUGGUGAUUCAAUUCACUUCAUGGUACCUUUUGAUAGUUUAUUAACUUUAGCUUGGGUUAACUUUCAAUGAAAAGGAGAAAUAUUUUUUUACUUUUUUUUAUUAACUCUGAUAAAGUAAACUUUCAAUAUCAGAUUCAUAUUUUUCAAACUAAUGCAGCCCAGUUUCAUCAAUCUUGUUUGUUUUCUUCUUAUACAUCAAAACCUUUUUCUCAUUCAAGUUAACCUCAAAAGGUAAAAUUCACAUAAAAAAUGAUUCCUAGUGAACCUUUUUAUCUGGAUACAUGUUUGAUUCAUUUUGAUAAAACAAAAUGAAUCAUAACUUUAAGCUGAUAACAAACGAAAAAGAUUAUGAAAGGAAAGGCUUAAAAUGUCUUCCUAAAACUUCAAUCAUUUUGAAAUUGAAAUUUUAUUUUUCAUUUUCACUCUUAUUCCCUUUCCAUCUUGGGAUCUCCAACGCCAAUUGUGAAAGUUGACUACAAAAAUAGAUUAAAUUUUAUCAGAAUGUUGACUUUUGAUUGAAAUCUUGUUAAUCUUGGACUGAAUUUGGUUAGAAGCUCAAUUGAAUAGCAAUCAAAUCCAAAUUUGAAGAAACCGCUUUUUUUAAUCAAACCGCCAAAACCAUAGUCAUGUGGUUAAAGUAUGUCUUUUGUUUUAAGCCUUUCUCAUCGCUUCUGAACAAUUAACACUUAUUUUGGUUGUUAAUUAAUUUUGACAGUUUAGUAAAUAUUAUUUCAAUUAUUACUGUUAUUAUUACCCAAUCAAUCACUAAACAUCAGUCUAUCCAAAAUGGAUUCAGCCUUUUCUCGUCACUAUCAUUUUUUUUGUGUUUACAAUGUUUUUUGUGCCUUGGUUUAUAAUGCCUCAUGGCAAUCUUUAACUCUAAAUAUUUUCAAUUAUAUGUGUCUCGGAGAAAGUUGUAAUAAAAAUUUACAAGAAAAUGGAUUCUCCUUGGCUCUUUGUGUAUCAAACUAAACAGAGGAAGACAAAAAGGAAAAGGAAUAAACACAUAUUUCGAGGCCAACAAGAGGUAACUCAGGUUAAAUCAGUAGCUUCAAAGAUUUCUCUGCCAAUGUUUUGACCCUCAUUGACCCUGGGUCAUCUAAACAGAUAAUAAUAACAAUGGAACCCAAAAAAAGCCUUGUUUGAAGUCAACAAACCUCAAUACAAGAGACAAGUUUUUAUUCAAUUUCAAUAAUCUUUAUUUCUUCUCUAUUGAAAUUUCUCUUAGCCCCAUCAUCAUCAUUAUCAUUUUUCACAUCAAUUUGGCUGAUUUACUCCUUAAAGAAUCUACUUUUCACAUUCAACAACAACAAACAUCAACAAAUCUCGGUUGAUAUAUGCAAAGAUAAACUUGAAUUUUUGUGUUGGUUUUAGUUAUAAAUGGUAUAAUCAUCAUAACAGGAAGUAAUUUAUUAUCCUUUUAUCAUUAUUUCAGAAUGAUUAGGAUCAAUCAAUUGUAUCUGUAAAUCUCUUUACCUUUUCUUCAUCAUCAUCAUCAUACACCUUGAAACUAUACAAACAAGAAAAUUGUUUAUUUUACAUUGACAAAUGAGAUUCGGUAACAAUAAGGAAGACCUUACCUUUCCUAUUGAUUGCGGUCUAACAAUCAAAAUGUAACCAUGCUAUAAAAUGAUUACAUUCAUUAUUGUUACUACUGUUUUCAAAUUUACCUAGUAGUUAGUCAAUUGUUAUCUUAUUGAAUAACAACAAGUUUAUUUGCUGUUGAUCGAUUUAAACUUGAAUUUCAAUGAGAUAGAGAAAAAAAUUGCAACUCAAAGUUAAGUGUGUUGUGAUGAAUGUAAAAAAAUCAAAGACUAAAACAAAUUGCGCCAUUGAAUUUCAACGGAUUCAGGAACGGAUCACAUUUUUGUAUGUUGUCUUUUCAUUUCUUACAAAUUAUAUUUUACUUCACUUCAAGAUUUGCCUGACAAUUAUCAAAAUAGCCUAAAGGUUUAAACUACAUCAAACUAAACAAUUAAAAGAUGUUGGUGACUUGGACCAAGGAGUUAGCUGUUUGAAACAAAUGCAAAGGUCAAUUAAAUUGAUCAGAACUGAUGAGUCUGGACGAGGAUCACAAAUCACUGGCAGGAUUGUUUAAUGGUAACUGUUCAUUCAACUUCAAGACAACCAACUUUUGCCGUUAAUUUUUCCUGGAGACUUCAUUUACUUGGUUUGCACAUUCAAUUGACUUUGACAAUGAUUAACUUAUCUUGCAAAGUUUACUAAUUAAUGCAUAUAAGUGUUGCUAUUUUCAGAAUAAGUCAAAAUUAUAAAAUGAUUAAUUCACUGAAUUUUUAUCAUUUUUCUUUCACAUUAUUGUAUUAGUUCAUCUCAAACCGUUAAAAUAGCAAGUAAACUCGAAAUUAAACUUUAAUCAGGGAAAAAUGAAAAACUGAACUUAUAUAAAUUA